rnacentral:rRNA from 1 species
AUACGGAGGAUGCGAGCGUUAUCCGGAUUUAUUGGGUUUAAAGGGUGCGUAGGCUGUGCGUUAAGUCAGGGGUGAAAUGCCGUCGCUCAACGACGGAGCUGCCCUUGAUACUGGCGUGCUGGAGUACGGAUGCCGUUGGAGGAAUGAGUGGUGUAGCGGUGAAAUGCUUAGAUAUCACUCAGAACACAGAUUGCGAAGGCAUCUGACGAAUCCGUCACUGACGAUGAGGCACGAAAGCGUGGGGAUAGAACAGGAUUAGAUACCCUGGUAUUCCACGCCGUAAACGAUGAUGACUAACCGUCGGCGAUAGACAGCCGGUGGCCAAGCGAAAGCGAUAAGUCAUCCACCUGGGGAGUACGUCGGCAACGAUGAAACUCAAAGGAAUUGACGGGG